rnacentral:rRNA from 1 species
CGGAAGGCAGCAGUGAGGAAUAUUGGUCAAUGGACGAGAGUCUGAACCAGCCAAGUAGCGUGCAGGAUGACGGCCCUAUGGGUUGUAAACUGCUUUUGUACGGGAAUAAAGUGACCUACGUGUAGGUUUUUGCAUGUACCGUAAGAAUAAGGACCGGCUAAUUCCGUGCCAGCAGCCGCGGUAAUACGGAAGGUCCGGGCGUUAUCCGGAUUUAUUGGGUUUAAAGGGAGCGUAGGCCGUGCUUUAAGCGUGUUGUGAAAUGUAGGCGCCCAACGUCUGCACUGCAGCGCGAACUGGAGCACUUGAGUACGCAGGAAGUAGGCGGAAUUCGUCGUGUAGCGGUGAAAUGCUUAGAUAUGACGAAGAACUCCGAUUGGGAAGCCAGCUCACUGUAGCGCCACUGACGCUGAUGCUCGAAAGCGUGGGUAUCGAACAGGAUUAGAUACCCUGGUA